CCAAGUUUGCCCAUACCUGUUCUAAACUAUAACUUUUCCAAACUUCAGAACAUAAACUUUCCCCCUGGUAUUCCUAUUAGGUCUCUAUCUGGAAGAAAAUAUUUUUAGUUCAAUGCUUAGACAGGAAACACAGAUGCUAAUGGUUUGAUUUAAAAUCACAUCUUUCUCCCAAACAGGACCCAAAGUGCCUUACAGUAUCCACAGGUAUCUACAACAGUUCGCUGAGAUCUAGAUCUUAUUAAUUCACUACAGAUAUGUCCACAGAGACUGGAAUUAGGCUGGAACCCACAAUCAAAGCACUUCCCAUUCCAAUUCCGUGAAGCUACUUUGACAGGGGAGUUAUAGGAUUCCUGUAUCUAGCCCUGGUGAAGCAUUUUAAACCUGACAUUUUCAGAGAGUUUUCAAAGGCAAUCAUGGGUAGCAUGUGUUGAAGUAAACUGAAGUCAUCUAGGCAUAUAUGACUUAAGCCAUAAGAAACAUGAAUUUAUCGUAAAUGCCAGGAGCCUGUUCUCUUAUCCCUUUUGUGAUCCAUAAUGAUAAGAAAUUAUUCAAAACACAGAACCCCCUUUCAAAGAACUGAGGAUUAAUGUGUAGGUUGUGGAUAUCUUUAAAUGGUGCUUGUUUUAAGUUUUAAAAUUGUUUUAUUUGACAUGUAAGUGGGUUUUUAUAUCGGGAUAUGAUGUUUUAAUUGAUCAUGUAUUGGUGUCUAAUGUAUUUGUAUGAAUUUUAUAUGUUGUACGCUGCUUUGAAUCCCACCCACAGGAGAAAAGCAGGAUAGAAAUGAAAAACUACUACUACUACUACUACUACUACUACUACUACUUAUUAUUAUUAUUAUUAUUAUUAUUAUUAUUAUUAUUAUUAUAGGCCACAGAAGAGAAGUCUGCAGAAGAAAAGGCUGAGAGGAGACAUGAACACCAUUACAUAUGUGAAAGGCAGUUAUAAAGAAGAGGGAGCCGACUUGUUUUCUAGGAUUCAAUGGAGCCAUGGGUUCAAAUGACAGGAAAGGAGAUUCCACCUGAACAUUAUUGUUCCUAAUUGUGAGAGUUGUUCAACAGUGGAACUCACUGCCUCAGAGUAUAGUGGAAGCUCCUUCUUUGGAGGCUUUGAAACAGAUGCUGUGUGGCCAUCUGUCAAGGGUGUUUGGAUUGUGCUUUUCCUGCCUGGCAGAAGACAUCUGGCCUUUGGCCCCUGUUCUGAAAUAUCAGCCUGACUUUGAAACAAUGCAAAAGGAAGGAUCGGAUCACCUCAUUGUCCGCCAAACUAAGGAACCUCAGUUCUGGCAAAGGAAGAGUGAACUCGGCAUCUUCGUCGACGCAGGAAGUCUUGGGAUCUGGUUGCGGGGAAGGAGGAGGAGAAGGAGAAGGCUCCUGCAAGGAAGGGCAUGGAGGAGUCAGCAAUGAAAGCCCAGGUCAAACAAAAACUAAUGUUCUGAGUUCAAACUGUUGUUUUAAAUACUCGUGGUUUUAUUUUGUAUUGUACUGUCUGUUUAUUUUAUGAGUUGUUUUAGGCACCUUGUGACAUAUGUCAGUCACCCCGAGUCCCUUUGGGGAGAUGGAAGCUGGGUACAAAAAUAAAAUUAUUAUUCCUAUAUCCAAAA